ACAAUAUAUUUUAUUAAGGUGUUAUGAAAUCUAUUUUAUUAAACUUACAACUUAAUAAUAUUCAAGAGUAAAAACAUUAACAAAUUCAAAACAGUGUCUUCGAAACCCAUUUCUCAAUUGCAUGAACUUUUCUCUUCGAAACCCGUCUCAUCGCCUGAAAGAGUGCAAACACGUCGAAACACGUCGAAGAAUUGGGAGAGACUGGGAAGCGAGAAAUCCAAGCAUUUCCUAAACUCCUUUCUCGCAUUUUCUUUGCGUAUAUCGGUUUUUUCGAUUCACCUAAUGACUCCAUAAUCAGAAACUUUCGUUCGUAAAAACAUGAUUCCCUUCAUUUCUCUACGGUUCUUCACCCAAAACCCUAUCGAUUAUUCAUCAGAUCAUCAACUGCUGCCCCGCUCCUUCUACCGCUGCGACGUCUUCAUUGACUGGAACUAGUAGAUCGGUUGGGCAUUGACUGGAACCAGUAAGAUCGAGAUGUACCUUGGAUUUGACACAAUUCAUGUUGCUUCGUUGAACCUAUUUCAUUUUUUGGAUAAUUCAUUUUUCUAAUUGUUGAAUAGACUAGGAGUUUUCGAUAUAGAGAAGGGGAUUUGAAGCUUUGAUCUUAAGAAUGUUCAUUCACUGUUUGAUGAAUUGAUUCAGAGAGCUUCUGAUUGUGUUUUUUCUCUGAAUGGGACUUCUACUGCCACUUUAAUUCAAGGAAAGUUCCUAAUAGUUCCGCUUUGACGGUUUCGACGAAUUAUUCGAAGAAUUUAACUUCUGGUUCUGGUUCUUGAGGUGGUUUGAGAAGCAGGUUCCUUUAAUUGAUGCUUCUUCUACCUUUGUUCAUGUGGAGAGAAACGUUUAUGCAAAGGCUUCUGAGUUGUUCAAAAGAGAUCAUAGUUAUGUGAGCAAGUCUAAGUCUAAAUUCUAUCCGACGGGUAUGGAAUUGAACUGAAUUUUGCACCCAAACCCCAAAUAAUGGAUUCAUCCUUAAAAUCCACAACUGUUGUAGAAGUAGCUGGUGCAACGAUUCCACUCGCCAUAUUUGGGAACACACUCGGCGGCGACAUCGAGAAGUGACUUAUUCCAGAAGUUGCAAGGGAGUUGAAGUUUUCUGCAAAGCUACUUUCAUAUGUAUCUCAACUUGUAUGUCACCAAAUUAAUGUUAUUGGCUGUGUGUUGUCUCCAAACAGGUUUUUUUAAUUAUCUUUUGCAUAUUGAUAUAAAAUAGGUUGUUAGAAUGUAAAUUCAAACCCUUUCAAUUCCACACAACCACCACCAUUAGGUCUUCUAAUGUAUUUCAUCAUUCUGCUUAUUUCCCACUUGAGAGAGGAAUGUUAUUAGCCUUAUUCAAAGACUAUUAUAAUACUACUUUAAUGCAUACAAUCAAUACCUUGAGAUGAAAUCUUUAUGAAUAUGUGAAUCCAAUUCCAUUUUGGCAUUACGUUGUAUUGUUCCCUAUAAAUAUACUACUAAUGCUACUAUUUUUUCACAUCAAUAAAACAUAUUGAAACAAAACAAGACUACUCUCAAUUCUCACAGGAUUCAAAUCAAAAUAUUUAUAAAAAAAUGGAAGCUGCCCAAUUGAUUUCUCAAGAGUGGGAUUCCCUUAGUGGACACUACACAGCUGAGGAAGUUGAUUUCAUGACUCACUUCCUUGGUGGCAAUACUAACUAUUCUUAUUUUCCUUCAAAUGUUGCAAAUGCUAAUUCUAUGUGUUUCUCCCAAGGGAGUAGCACAAACACUGCUAAUAGUGCUGAUAUAUUUUCCACCAACACAAAUCCUGGCAUCUACUUCUCGGAUCCGACAACAAACAAUAUUGGAUCAAGCUACAUUGAAUAAACUGAAAAUACUCGUGCGGCCAAUCCUAUUGAGUACAUUCCAAAUGCAAAGCUACCAUGUGUUGGACAUCAUCCAAAGAAUGUCAUUCUUUUGGCAUGUGAUGCAUUUGAUGAGUGUAUAUUCGAGCUAGGUUUCGGUUUUAAUGCCUGGAGAUGUGAUUCCUACAUUUAUUGCUCACCCUGCUCCAUGUUGUCCGGAACGGAUUGUGGCCUUCUCAUCAACAUAACACGUUACCUUGUUCGACUUCGAACACGAGGCCUAGUAAUAUCAAUGAAGUCUGAGGAGUCUAAAUCAAUGUGACAAAGUUUCCCAUAUUGCUUCAUCAAAGGGGUUGAUAUGCAUUUUUAACUAGAUGAUGAUUUCUUCUUACAUGUAAUAUAGGAUUUAGUUUAGGUUUUGCAAUUGGAGUACAAGAUCGAUUUCUGUCUAAACUUGUUUUCUUUUGAUGAAUGUUGGAAGGUACAAGAUUUCUCUUUACUUUUCUAAGUUUGAUUUGCAUUAAUUCACAAAUGAUAUGUGUGUUUCUAUCAUCUCCUUCCAAAGGCUAAUAUUCACUACUGAGAUUUGCAUUAAACUAUUGAAGCUUCUAGAGAUUCUGGUGUUGUUAUUAUGAAUAGUUUAACUCUGGUUGAAAUGUUUAUGGAUUCGGUAAGAGCUUCUUAUAUUAAUUGCUUGAGUUCUUUUUAGAUUUGAAUUCUUAACUUCAAUUUAAUCAACUUAAUUAUGCGAGUUUCGUGAUUGAUUUUGUAGAACAAGUGGAUGGAGCUAUUUCCUACUAUUGUGACAAUGGCGAAGACAAUCGAAAACAUUGUUCCUGGAAUGAUGGGUGAAUAUAGUGAUGUAUGAAGAGCUGCAAGUGCUUUCACCAUUUGUUCCUAUUAGAGAAUUCUACUUUCUGCAUCUGUCAACAAAUUGAGCCCUACAUAGAAGACCAAUUACUUGGUGGUGGAUUCCCACUCGAUGAACUUACUAACCGAAAUGAAAAGGAGAACUCGGAAGAUACAGAUACAUCCGCUCAACGUGGAGCGCUUCUUAAAGGAGGAGAUCAAGUUAUCUCCGUUCUUCAAGAAAUGAUUACCCUCUUGGAAGAUAUGGAUAUGGAUGAAGAUUCUGAAAAAGUGGCAGUGGAGUUAGCUGCACAAGGAGUUAUUGGUAAGAGAGUUGAUCAGAUGGAAUCUGAUUUCAUGAUGGCCCUUGAUUACAUGAUCUAGCUCAUCGAGCAGGACCAGGAUGAUAAGCGCAAGUCAUUGUUGGAAGUUAUCAAAGAGACAGUGUUAUCACAUCUUACUAAAAAGUGCCCACCCCACGUCAGAAGAAAUUAUCAAAGGUGAUAGUACCAGACAAAUGGAAAGAAGGAGCUAGUAAUACUACUGAGAAUGGUGGCCGCAAAAUCAACGAGAAUAAACUCCUCUCCAAGAAGAACAGGUUUGAUUUGGUUGAUUGUAUUGCACAAGUUAUGAAAGAAAGCUAUUGUUUUUAGGUGGUACUAAUAUAUUUACAAACACGUCACCAUAUGAAAAAGAGACAAUUGACCAUAUUCGGCAACUUUGGGCUCAAGUAUUUUUGCAAAUGGUUGAAAAUCAAAAGGUUGAGGAGCAAAAUCUACCGGAUCAAAUGCAAAUGAUUGAAGAGGAUAAGGAGAUAGAAAUGUUGCCAAAACAAAAGCCAAAGAAGAAGAAGAAAAAAACUUAUAUAUGAAGAAAGUGUUAUGACUUAGUUAAAAUAUAAUUUUUAUGUGUAUGAUUUUAUAGUACUUGAAAUAUUAUGACUGCACAUGAUUUUGUAUACUUUUUGGUUAAUAUUAAAAAUAUUUUGACUUAGUUAAAAUAUGAUUUUUAUGUGUAUGAUUUUAUAGUAUUUGCAAUAUUAUGACUGAAAAUAAAAUAUAACUAAAUGGUGUGUAUGAAAUAGGGUGUAAAUAGAUAUAAUUGUUCAUUCAUAAAUGGCGUAUUUACACCCGAUUUUU